ACCUUGGGGCCUCUCCCUUGCUCUCAGUCUCCUAGCGCAGUGGGAAUCUUGCUGGUUCUCUGGAGAUGGAAAACGAGUAACUUAGGACCCAGUGAUUUUUGUUUUGUUCCUCACAAUGCUUAAGCGACCGUCUGCCCUGGCCUUCUUGAAUCAUCUCCUGACACGGGGAGGCUACUGAGGAUUUAGAGAAAAGAGCGGAGGCUGAUCUGGGGGAUGGAUGUUUGCGCACGGCAGCUCCUUAGGGGAACCUAGAACGCCCCUCCUGCGCGGUUGGAACUCUAUAAACAGCAGCUGUCAAGGAAGAAAGAACUCAGGCGAACUGGGCAAGAGGAGUGAUCAUGUCUGUUCCCCUUCUCCUCCAUAGGCGUCCUCACCCCCUUAUAGGGAAAUGGAAACUAAGAGCUGCCUCUAAAGUAAAGGAAAAGGAGGUGGGUCCCUGUCAUUCCCCAAGCUCAAGGUUCACGGCUAUC
rnacentral:lncRNA from 1 species